AACGCACAUUGCGCCCCUUGGUAUUCCGGGGGGCAUGCCUGUUCGAGCGUCAUAAUAACCCUCAAGCUUAGCUUGGUGUUGGGGCCUGCCUUUGGGCAGCUCUUAAAGCAAGUGGCGGUGCCGUCUGGCUCUAAGCGUAGUAAUAUACCCUCGCUAUAGUGUCUGGUGGUUAACUUGCCAAAACCCCUAAACUUCUAUGUUUGACCUCGGAUCAGGUAGGGAUACCCGCUGAACUUAA
rnacentral:misc_RNA from 1 species